UACGUAGGGCGCAAGCGUUAUCCGGAAUACUGGGCGUAAAGCGUGCGCAGGCGGUUUUGUAAGUCUGUCGUGAAAGCCCCGGGCUUAACCUGGGAAUGGCAUUGGAAACUGGCUCGCUGGAGUGUGGCAGAGGGGGGUGGAAUUCCGCGUGUAGCAGUGAAAUGCGUAGAGAUGCGGAGGAACACCGAUGGCGAAGGCAGCCCCCUGGGCUAACACUGACGCUCAGGCACGAAAGCGUGGGGAGCAAACAGG
rnacentral:rRNA from 1 species